GUUAUUAUAUUGCUGAAGCAGUAGAACUUGAGAUGAAUUCAUAAUAAAAUAGUUGGCAUGGGGACCACAUGGAUGUUCUGGGCCUCUCUUAAAAACUUUAUAUGCAGCACAUCUUCUUACCGAAUGUUGGAAGAACACCUUUACAGGACCUCAUCUCUAGAUAAUGCCAUACAAUUGUUUUCCCCUCAACAGAAGUUAAAAUGAGUAAAUUAGGGAGGUACAGCUAAAAACUCCUUAUAACCAUUUUUAACUGAAACAAAGCACAAUUCCCUCACCAGGCCACUGAGUACGGAGCAAAAAACACGUGGCGGAUGCACUCAUUAACCGGAACAACCAGAUGGAUCGUUACACUGAACCACCCAGAGGCUAUCCAUGGAAGGGUUUGGAAAAGGGCAACUACUUUCCAAAAAUACAUCUGAAGGAAAUCGGAAGGAGAGCGAAGAACAUCCGUCGGUGUCGUUCUUUUCUUUGCUUUCAAUUAAGAAUGACUCUCUGGUUCAGCAUGUACGCUCUGCCUCCCUGCAGCAUCCUGCAGCAUGUCAUCAGCCUCCCAUGUGCACACACACACACACACACACACACACACACACACACACACACAGGCACAUGCAUCUGCUGAAACCUCUGACUUCACUCCACCAGCGCCAGUCUGUGCACAGGCAGUUCAGAUGUUGUCAUUCGGUUUGCUGGAGGAUUUGGGCAGCCUUAUUCAAAAGGGAUAUUCUCUCUUUUAUUUAUGCUGCGUUCUAUUUUCCUUUUGUCUGAGACAUUUCUGCCUACGGGACACGUAGGCAGAAAUCUCACGUGUUACCGUAGUUGUGAUAAUUCAGGUAGUGUUCCUGGUUUCAGAGAGACACUCUAUUCAUGUAGGAGCAAAGGGUUCCAGAGGUUCAAUAGGAAACCCAAACCAUGUAUUUGAUCAAUAUGUCUUUAAAACAAAGGCUUAAUACCUGCAUUUAUUCAUUUAUUCUGUGGAGGUUGGCAAUGAGAUAGAAUACAAAGCAAAGUAAUGUGUUUUUGUCUUCUAGGAGGUUAAACAUGUUUACAAAAAGAAGUGAUGUAGCUCUUUAAAGCUCCUUAAAAAUCAUUCCAGAAAAUGUCACCAACCACCAACCUCGUUAGAAAACCACAUUCUUCCGACACUGCCCCUCCCACACUAAUCCUGCUAGAAAAGCACAAGACAAAAACAAAAAUACAGAAAUCUCUGAAGAAACUGAAACUGACUGAAAAUGUCUUGAUGUGGAACAAGAAAAUAUGCUCCUUUCAUUUGAAUCCAAAAUGAAAAGAAAAUGUGCCUUCAAGUGUGGGUCUUUUGCAUUUUCCAUUGAUCAAUGAGAAUUUCGCUUUGAGACUAAAGCUAACCAACCUGUGUGGCUUCCUGUAGCUUCCUGAAUAUUCCAUUCACUUAAAUGUGAAACUACUCUCAGAGGGUCUGCUGUGAUCAAAAGGUGCAAUAUCCAAUCCCGCUUCGCAACAUCUCUCCGUAGAUGAUGAAAUUCUCUCUCUCUCUCUCUCUCUCUCUCACAGAUGUGGGUUGCAGAUGUGGAAGCUGUCCUCAGGUCCAUGGAGAGACAGUUGAAUGCUUCACUGGAGAAAUAUCCUCGUACAAGCGCAGUCUGCCCAGAGCGUUGUCCUCCAUCUCCUUUGAACCGCGGCGGGUGUCUCUGCUGCCGACCAGCUGAUCCGGAGAGGCGCCUUAAGAUGGUCUGAAAUGAUUUGGAGGCAAGAGAAACGCUCAGCGAUCCCGUUUUCUUUGCAAACCUGAACCCUUCAAUCCCUCAUGCAAUGACCUGUCCUCAUAAGCCGUUUUUGCCAUUCAGCUGAGGAAAGUCAUUUCACACUUGAGUGUAUCUUUACUUAUCCGUCCCCUGAGCGCUGAAAAGUAGAUUUCAACUUGAGAUCUUCCCGCGAUGACUUCCAGCUUCAUGUUCUUAAUACUCUGCUAACGACUGACUAAUGAAUAAACAAGUCUCUCUGCGACACAGGCUUCUGUUG
ensembl:lncRNA